UCAGACGAUGCGUCAUGCAUAUCAAUAAGCGGAGGAAAAGAAACUAACAAGGAUUCCCUUAGUAACGGCGAGUGAAGCGGGAAGAGCUCAAAUUUGAAAUCUUCAAGGUUUUACCUUGACGAAUUGUAGUUUAAAGAAGUGUUUUCUGCUGAAGUUUUGGUAAAAGUUCUUUGGAAUAGGACAUCAUAGAGGGUGAGAAUCCCGUAUUUGACCAUUAUUUUCAGCUUUGUGAUACACUUUCAAAGAGUCGGAUUGUUUGGGAAUGCAGUCCAAAAUGGGUGGUAAAUUUCAUCUAAAGCUAAAUAUUGGCGAGAGACCGAUAGCGAACAAGUACCGUGAGGGAAAGAUGAAAAGAACUUUGAAAAGAGAGUUAAAUAGUACGUGAAAUUGUCAAAAGGGAAGCGUUUAACACCAGUGUUGUUUUCUCGAAAAUCAAUUAAAAAUGGCUCGAUUUUGUAUUGCUGAGACCUUAAAAGCUCACUGUACAUUUUUCGUGUCUUUUUAAUGCACUUUUCGUUUAACAAGUCAACAUCAGUUUCUUUUGUUGUAAAAGGGUCAUUGGAAGGUGGCUUUCUUUUCGGAGAAAGUGUUUAUAGCCUUUGGCCUCUGCAAUCGGAGAGACUGAGGUCUGCAGCGUAGACUCUUCGGGGUUAGAUACAUUUGUGCUAAGUUAUAGCUUUUUAUAGACAACUUGUUGACUAUAAUUAGUCUUGUAGCUUACUCGCUUAUGCUAUUUUACCUACGCUUAGGAUGUUGACUGAUAUGUAGUCGUA
rnacentral:rRNA from 1 species